UACGUAGGUCCCGAGCGUUGUCCGGAUUUAUUGGGUUUAAAGGGUGCGUAGGCGGGAUGCCAAGUCAGCGGUAAAAAUGCGGUGCUCAACGCCGUCGAGCCGUUGAAACUGGCGUUCUUGAGUGGGCGAGAAGUAUGCGGAAUGCGUGGUGUAGCGGUGAAAUGCAUAGAUAUCACGCAGAACUCCGAUUGCGAAGGCAGCAUACCGGCGCCCUACUGACGCUGAGGCACGAAAGCGUGGGUAUCGAACAGG
rnacentral:rRNA from 1 species